AGUGCCUUGCUACAUGACAUCCACGCAUUGUUAUUGUGAAGGAGGUGUGCUGCAAGGCUGCAGCUGGCAGCUGUGAGAAAACGCAUCACUUACAGCAGAGACCUUCAGACCUAGGCUAGCGUUGCCAGCAGCUGAAAUUCCUGGAGCUGUAAACACUGUUGAUAUUGUCUAAAGAUAAAAUAAAAUAAAAUAGUUCAGGAAGACCUGACAAAUGUGCUCUUUCCCCUGCAUCAGUGUGGUAGGGAUGGAUACUGUUUUAUACACAUGGCUGGUUGUUCACUAGUAAAGUACCAAUCCAAAAAGGCUGUUUAACAACAGUUAAUUCCACUUAACACGGGCUAGGAAAUCAUGCAGGGAAUUCACCACCAGCCUGGCCACUGGGGGAAAACAACUGGUGUUGCCACCUACAAGGAACUCAAACAGCUCAGCAUCCACCUGCUCCCAACAGGUGGGCACCCAGCAUAUAUUACAGAUUGCAUAGAGAACAGCUGAGGGAUGAUACCCUCCCUUAAAUCAAGCUUGUUUACAUUUACUUGAAUAGUGGCUUACUUAAAUUCUUUACAAAGGAGUAGUCAGAAUUUGAAGAGAAGAUUCUGCUUCAUGGGCUGAUUCUUUACACCCAGCUCUCUCUUGAUUAUUCUUGCAAAAUAGCUGUGAUCCCAUUUUAUACAAGGUUACAAGAAAAGAAACAUCUCUCAUAUGGUGCAAAAUGCUGAACUAAAAACCUAACCCUAAAAUCUUUCACAGAGUGCAGAGUCAGCUCUCUGGACUGAAGAUUGCACUGGUCAUGCUGGUACCCAAGAAGCAGGCUAUACCACCUCUUCUGCUUUUCCUCCACACGAACAAAUGAUGAAGACAACUUGGGAAGGAGGUGUACAGAUGGAAAGGAUUGCUCUGAAUCCCCAGCAAGCAUGUGUGCCAUGUUCAACUUGAAAUAAGAGAACCCUGCAAUUGGAAAAAGCAGAUAAACAGCAGUACUAAAUACUGAAAGCAUCUCUCCAGUUACAUUCUGCCUGGUUGCCUUUUCAAGACCUUGGGUUUUUUAAUUCCUAUGCAUGGGGAACAACAUAUGGCAACAUCUCAGUGAAGAACAGUACCUCAGGUCCACUUUGGGAAUCUUGCUGAUACCUGCAUUUCAGGUGUGGAUGACAACUGAGGUGUGGCAGGCAGAGCAGGUGGCUCUGGAGGCUCCUGCUUGUCUGUAUGCAGUCCGUCAGUCACUGUCAAGUGUCAGGUCACAGAAGCCCCCGCCUCUAAACAAGGAUGUCAUCAGAGGCAACAUGUGCUUCUAAAGGUCCUGGGAGAAGCAGAAAGCCAAAGAUGUCCUUGCAGAGGUUCUUCUUCUUCAUAGUGAAGUUACUGUGACCCACUUCUGUUGCUUUGAACACUAAUGGUCUGUGCUAUUUUUUCCUUUCCCUGUGUUUAACCAGAAUAAUCCAUGUAACAAGGCCUACAGCUUAUCACUCUUACAAGAUAGGGUCUGAGAAAAUCCCACAGGUGCGUGAACACGUAUGCUGCAGUCCAAGCCACAGAGGUGCUUUCAAUUGCUCACUGCUUAUCUACCAGCACAGAAAGAUUCCCCUCCAGUAAUCUAAAUGAAGAAACAUCACGUUCUGUGGCUGUACUAUCUCUUCCUAUGAAGGAAAGAUGAAGAUUCUGUAGCAACAUUCUUUAUCUACUACUUAGAAGGAAGGGUAUCUUCAGGAAGGAGAGUUCAGACCAGACUGAGUUGCUUGCUCACAGAUAUCCACUGAACAGGUGUUUCAUUGCCUGAAAACUGGAAGUCUAGCAGAGUGUUAAAAAGAAGGUUUUUAAAUUGUUAUUUCUUUUUAAUAAAAUGUUUCAUCCAGCUUUAGUGAUUAGGGAGCUACCAUGCCAGUAGAAAUUAUUUUCACCUAUUGAUUACUUUAAACCACAAGGGACUUGGGUGAUUAUUCAAGGCAAUUUACAGUUACUCAGUAUACAACUUCUAGAGAAAAAUAUACUGUAAGAUUUAUUGUUUUAAAGCUAAGUGAUGGGUGUAAUAAAAGAUAUAUUAAAAAAUGAUGCCUCUGAAGGUUAUAGGAAGUAAAACUUACCACUUAUUGUUCAACAUGUUGAUUUUAAACCAGUUUCAGCACCAGGGUGCUACUCAUUUGGCCCAUUAAUCUGCCUAGGGACAAAUUAAGGCACACUGUGUCCCCCUGGAAUUGCAAGCCCAAGUCAACAGGUUUGCAGGCAGGACAGAACUCAUGUCCUCUGUCUGUGGAUCUAGGGUAGCUAACUGUUAUGUUCUUUUUGAUCUUUGUGUUCUUUUCCACACUACCGUUAAUAAAUUAGUCCUAAGUUGUCCUCAAAUGUGCCUGUAUUAAUCCUUUUGGUAAAACUAGGUAGUUCUUUAUUUGAAUGAGACACCAUCGGAAAUGAGCUGCACUUUGCAUAGAUAUGUUGAUCUUUAUUAGAUUUUUCAAUAGUCCCAAUGACGCCUUUCUCUUUUGUUUUAACCACUGAGCCUCAUGUGUUCUCAAGUGCUUUUACAUUUGACUGAUGUAAAAGUGUAAUAUGGUUCCUCUGGAAGAACUAAUGAUAAUAAGUAGAGCAUACAGUUGCCAGGGAAAUGAAGCAUUCACUAUUCAGUUACUUGGUGGCCUGUAUAAUAGAUAGUUCAGUGAGCAUUUGAUUUGUAUCUGUGAAGAUCACUGGUGAAUAUUAUACCGUCAUUAAUAAAUGUCCUCAUGU